ACUGCUAUGGCUCAAAGGCAGAGCACCUGCCUAGCAUGUCUGAAGUCCUGAGUUCAGUCCCCAGUGUCAGAA
rnacentral:tRNA from 1 species